GGGGAUCUUCUAAAUCAGAAUAAAACACGUUCUCCACUCAAGUCAGAAGAACUGUCCAUUCAAAGCCUACAGUGCCAACCUAUGACAAGAUUGCAGGAUGGCCUGUUAGGAAGCCCACAAUGACUUUCCCAUUCACUAUAAGUUACCCACAGAUGAAAGAAUUUCACAAUGUCACAAUGAAUUUGGUUGCCGACACAGAGAUCCUAGAUCUAAGGAGAUUUCAGGAGGCAGAGGUAGGCUGCUGAACACACUCCAUGUGAACAACUAUUAUAUAACUUGAGUGUUUACAAAGUAACUUAAGCUGUAGAUGGAGCCAUAUCAGGUCCAGGUGCUAGAGAACUUUCCAUUAAAUCUUUAAUUUUGAGACUGUUAAUGCUGAAUGCAAAAAAAAAAAAACUAUUAGAAUUUCAAGAGUCAGAUCUACGCCUAUUUAUUUAUGGGUUAAAACUACUGUGGAUAUUAGGUCUAGUAUUUCCAAUUCAGUUAUGAUUGGGCAGGCAAUUACCAAAGGUGGUCUGAGUGCCUUAUACUUUUAGCCGAGGCAGACAUUUCCUAAAGGGCUGGAGACAAGCAGUACCUAACAAGAGGACCUAACUCCGCUGGCAGCUCCUCAUUAGUUAGAUCUGGCAGCCAUGUUCGGUCUUAAAUUUCCCAGGACAGCCCAGCUUCCUGUAGAAACCCCAGAAAGAGGGCAGCCAAUCAGCAACUGUCCUGAUGUCUGGCCAAGGGCUUAUAACAGGUAUGAAAGAGUCCCUAUAAGGUAGCAAUCUCUCCCUUGAGGUACAAACCAACCAGAAAUUUACGAAUAUCCUAUACCAUAAAGCUCAACCAAUCCUGGUGAAGGUGACCCAACUACAACUGGAAAACCAACUGGUUCUAAAAGGGGCCUACUAGCCUCCCUCAUGGUCCCUGAUUGUGCUUGGAUGAUUGACCCCUACAUGCCAGCUGUAUUUGAAGAAUAAAAGUUCUGUGUCUUUACAU
rnacentral:lncRNA from 1 species